rnacentral:rRNA from 1 species
AUGGGCGACGACGAUAGCAAGACCAAGCAUUUUGCGAUGGGAGGCAGUUCGGCGGUGAAGAAAGAAACCUUACCCCCGACGACCUUCCCGCGGCUAGAGGGAGAGGACUAUGCUAUGUGGGCGAUCAAGAUGGAGUGCGCCAUGGAGGCUCACGAAAUCUGGGAUGCGAUCGAUCCUGGAGGCGAUGCAUAUAAGAAGGGAGGUACAGAAUAUAAGAAGGAUCGGCAGGCCAUGUCUGCGAUCUACUCUGUCAUCCCCAAUGAUGUAGCACGUCAUGUAUCCGGGAAGAAUACAGCAGCAGAAGCCUGGGAGGUGAUCAAGGAACUUCACCAAGGGCACAACCGUGUUCGUGAGGCUCGUCUACAAUCUCUGUUGAGGGAUUAUGAAAGUCUGAAGAUGGAUGAAAGUGAAUCCGUGGAUAAAUUUGCCAUGAGGGUGGUUGAGAUCACCAGCUCCAUCAAGGACCUUGGAGAGACUUUGACAGAUAUCGCGAUUGUACGUCGCUUCCUCCGUGCUGCAGCACCACGAUACAUGCAGAUUGUCACCUCAAUCGAACAGUGCGUGGACCUGAAGACCUUGUCGGUCGCAGAACUCGUCGGGAGAUUCAAAGCCCAUGAUGAGAGGAUCAGGUUGAACUUCGGGGAUCCGAAGGAAAGUGAAAAUUUGUUCCUGACCAAGACGCAGUGGAUGGAACUGUCAAACAACAAGAAAAACAAGGGGACAGGAGCAAGCGGCAGUGGCAAGAAGGAAUAUCGGCUUAACCCGAAGAAAUCAGAAGAAGAGGUUGAGGCCCCAGCCAAACCAAAGUUUGAUCGGAAGAAAAUUAAGUGCCAUAACUGUGGAAUUUUUGGACACUUUAAAUCUGAAUGUCGCAAGCCACCAAAGAAGGAAAAAGCUUUCCUAGCAAAGGGAGGUGAUGAUCAGCCUGAGAUGCUGAUGGUAGAGCUAUGCGAGCUCAUGGAAGAUGAGCAGAUUGAAGAACGUCCAAAGCACACGCUCGUGCCUAAAGAGGUUCAGGAAGAGAAAAUACAGAGAAAGCUCAAUGAAUAUGUGACACUUGUAGAUGAUAAAGUGCAUCUGCAGCAGAAGGAAAAGGUUGAAGCUGGUGGGAAUGUCUGGUACUUGGACUCAGGAGCGAGUAAUCACAUGACCGGCGAUACUGAUCAAUUUUCUGAGUUGAAUACUUCAGGUGGAGGCACUGUAAAAUUUGGAGAUGCCUCGACCGUGCAGAUUUGUGGUCGCGGAACCGUGUUAUUUGAGACACGAAAGGGAGAACACAAGGUGCUGACGGAUGUGUAUUUCAUCCCGAGACUGAAGAGUAGCAUUAUAAGUCUCGGCCAACUCGAAGAGCGCGGUUGCAAGAUCGUCAUUGAGGAUGGCAUGAUGUUGGUGUUUGACCGUCAGCGUACACUGCUCGCACGGGUGAAGCGCUCGAGGAAUCGCCUCUACAUACUGAACCUUGAUCGUGCCGACCCAGUUUGUUUGCUCGCUGGUAUGCAGGAGGAUGCCUGGAGAUGGCAUGCACGCUAUGGUCAUCUGAAUUUCCGAGCGUUGCGUACACUAGGGCAGAAGGAGAUGGUGCAUGGUCUACCAAGAAUUGAGCAUGUCGAGCAGCUUUGUGAUGGUUGUCUUGUUGGGAAACAGAAGCGUAACCCGUUCCCCUAUGAAGCAAAUUUCAGAGCAAGCAAGGUUAUGGACUUGAUGCAUGGUGAUUUGUGUGGACCAAUCACACCUGCUACCCCAGCUGGUAAUCGAUAUUUUUUGCUCAUUGUCGAUGACUAUAGCAGGUUCAUGUGGAUCGUGUUGUUGAAGACCAAAGAUCAGGCUUUUGAAGCAUUUAAAAAGGUCAAGGUUGCAGCCGAAGUAGAAGCUGAAGCAAAGUUGAAAGCUCUCAGAACGGAUAGAGGUGGUGAGUUCAGAUCCAAGAGGUUCAAUGCCUAUUGUGAAGAACAUGUCAUUAGAAGGUAUUUGACGGCUCCCUACACACCGCAGCAAAACGGCGUGGUAGAGAGAAGAAACCAAACGGUUGUAGCUAUGGCACGGAGCAUGUUAAAGAGUAAAAAUAUGCCCGGAAGAUUUUGGGGGGAGGCUGUUACCACAGCACUCUAUUUGCUCAAUCGAGCGCCCACCAAAAGUGUGAUCGGAAAGACUCCGUACGAAGCAUGGUGCGGGAGGAAACCUACUGUGGAACACUUGCGCACAUUCGGUUGUGUAGCUCAUGUAAAAACAGUAGGAGGUCACAUUGGAAAGCUAGAAGACCGCAGCACACCGAUUGUGUUGCUUGGAUAUGAGCCUGGAUCAAAAGCAUACCGAGUAUAUGACCCUCGUACAAGGAUGCUAAGAGUAACUCGAGAUGUUGUCUUUGAAGAAGCAAAAGCAUGGAAUUGGGAUUCUGCAACUGAACCAGCUCCGCAUUCUUCAGGUGAUAUAUUUAAGGUGUUUUAUGAUCACCAUGAUGCAGGUCACGAUGAGCACAAUCAUGACCAUGGGGACAAAGGGGAAGUACCGAGCACGCCCGUUGUACAAGGCGGUGCUCCGGAGUUUGUGGAUUUAGGCUCACCAACAACCCCUUCAUCAUUCAUUGAGAGCGGCAGCAAAAGCCCCAGCGCAGCUGCCAUGGCAACAGAAAAUGCUGCAAUGGCAGGACAUCCACAUGAGGCUACAGAUAUGACAGAACAAGGUGAUGCAGAAGCAGCAAGCGAACCUCCUCGAGGACCGCCAACUCCAGUUCGGCUGCGCUCAAUCGAUGACAUUUAUGAAGCCACGAAUCCACCAGCAACCAGGGGAAGAGGACGCAACAGAGGUCAGGUUGCGAGUAGAAGAAGUUCAUCUGCAAGUUUAAGAGAAGAAAUUGCAGAGCUCUGUUUUCUAGGUGCAGAGGAACCUGUAUCAUUUGAAGAAGCAAACCAGGAAGAAACUUGGAGGAAAGCAAUGACAGAGGAGAUGGACUCGAUCAUUGAUAACAAGACUUGGUCCUUAACCAAUCUUCCUGAAGGACACCGAGCUAUAGGUCUGAAGUGGGUAUUUAAAGAAAAGAAAAAUUCAGAGGGAUCGGUGAUCAAGAACAAGGCUCGCCUUGUCGCGAAAGGAUUUGUACAGCAGCAAGGAGUGGACUUUGAUGAGGUUUUUGCCCCAGUUGCGAGGAUGGAAUCUGUCCGGCUGCUAAUUGCAAUUGCAGCUCAGAAAGCGUGGAAGCUACAUCAUAUGGAUGUCAAGUCGGCAUUUUUGAAUGGUGUGUUAGAGGAGGAAGUUUAUGUAAAACAACCUCCAGGUUUCAUCAAGGUGGGUAGUGAAGAAAAGGUGUUGAGACUCCACAAAGCUCUGUAUGGUUUACAUCAAGCUCCGAGAGCGUGGAACAUUAAAUUAAAUGACACGCUGAUAUCUCUCGGAUUUGAGAGGAGUCCAUUUGAGCAUGCUAUGUACAAAAGGGGGAAAGAAAAAUCUCGCCUAAUAGUUGGAGUAUACGUGGAUGACCUACUGAUAACAGGAGAGGAUGAGCAAGAAUUGGCAAGGUUCAAACAGCAGAUGAAGGACUUAUUUAAGAUGUCCGACCUGCGUUUAUUGAGCUACUAUCUAGGCAUAGAAGUGCAUCAAAAACCAGGGAGUAUAACGCUAUGUCAGGAGGCAUACGCGAGAAAGAUCCUAGAGAUCAGGCAUGACAGAUUGCAAUUCUGCUCAAACUCCUAUGGAAGUUCGUCUCAAGCUGAGUAA